AAGGAGAGCACCGCGAACACGUGCUAUUCUACGUCGUCGCCGUGGUCGGGGAGCUGGUGGGAUCUUUGAUUGGUCCCCCGCUCCGCGUCCGUGGCGACGACCCCCCCGCCGGACGGCGCUCUCGCGUCGUGCGUGCGGGUUUAACGAACCCGGGCGCGGAAUGCGCCAAGGAAAACUGAAACGGAGCGCCCUCCUCCCGUCCGAGCCCCGUCCGCGGCGUGCUAUGGACGGGCGGAAAGGAUGCGCCUCAAUCGAUUGAGAUGUCUCUGAAACGACUCUCGGCAACGGAUAUCUAGGCUCUCGCAUCGAUGAAGAACGUAGCAAAAUGCGAUACUUGGUGUGAAUUGCAGAAUCCCGUGAACCAUCGAGUUUUUGAACGCAAGUUGCGCCCGAAGCCUUCGGGCCGAGGGCACGCCUGCCUGGGCGUCACGCAUCGCGUCGCCCCCUCCUCCCGUCCUCUGUUGGCGGGGCGGCCGGGGGCGGAUUAUGGCCUCCCGUGCGCUCCCGUCGUGCGGCCGGCCCAAACGCGGUCCCCCGGCGGCGCCAGUCGCGAUCAGUGGUGGUUGAAUCCUCAGCUCAGCUGACAGUCGCGUGCUUCGGCGUCGUCCGGUCGGGGCAAGAGAGAGUAGACCCAGC
rnacentral:rRNA from 1 species